GAUUGUUUAGCUUAUAAAUUAAAGCCCAUGUUUUGAAAGCAUAAGAAAGAAAAAUCUAACAAUCU
rnacentral:tRNA from 1 species